UUCAAAGAAGAGUUCCGGUACACAUCAUCCAAACCGGAAGACUUGAAGAAAGUGUUCCGGUAUACAAGUAUACAAACCGGAAGACUUUCUAGAAGACUUCCGGUUCAGUGUCCAUAAAAACAACAAACCGGAACACUUUAGAGAAGUGUUCCGGUAUACACUUUUCAAACCGGAAGACUUACUCUUAAGUGUUCCGGUAUACAAUGCAAAAACGCCAAAAAAAUUUCUUCU
rnacentral:lncRNA from 1 species